GACUCUUCGGACGGGGACAGAGAGCUGAUGAAGGAGCUGUUUGAUCAGUGUGAGAACAAGAGGCGGACUUUAUUUAAACUCGCCAGUGAGACUGAGGACAAUGAUAACAGUUUGGGUGAGUGAAAGAGCGACGGUCAGGGAUAAGCCAGGCAUUUGGAUAUGUGGGUGGGAACUGUCACAACAGGAGUGAGAAGUCUCUCUUUCCUGCUCCAGGGGACAUCCUGCAAGCCAGUGACAACCUCUCCCGGGUCAUCAACUCUUACAAAACAAUUAUUGAAGGGCAGGUCAUCAAUGGCGAGGUGGCUACCUUAACCCUGCCUGACUCGGAAGGAAACAGUCAGUGCAGUAACCAAGGCACGCUCAUCGACCUUGCGGAGCUGGACACGACCAACAGUUUGUCCUCCGUGUUGGCCCCAGCACCUACUCCACCCUCCUCAGG
rnacentral:lncRNA from 1 species